CCCUGAGGAGAAAAGGAAAGGAUUUUCCUCAGCAGACACAUUCGGCAUUUAUAGAUUUUGAAGCUGCUGUGAAUGUAUCUAACUACAGAAGAUUUGUAAAAAAAAAACUCAUCCAAUCCAAGAGGACCUGUAGAAACUUUCUUUGGGCCACAGGAUCUUUUCUCUUUCCUUUGCAACGAAUUCAUCUAUUUAAUAAGUCUUACCGUGAAAAACAUUGAUUCUUUUUAGGAUGGGAACAGUUUGAAGGAUUCUGAGGCCAGAAAUGGCAUGACCAACUCUGUUCUUUGUAAAGAUAAUUCUGGAAACUUUGUGCAGGAUGAACAAAAAGAAGACAUGAACAUCUGCAAGAACAGAGGUGUGUCCUGGUGGUCUGUGGCUGAAAGGCAGUGACAGCUGUGGAGCUGAAGCCCUCACUGCCUCUGACUGGAACCUGGACCCAGAAACCCUCCGUAAAGCUCUUGUUGGAGACACCAACUUGGUUGGGAGAAAGCAACAUCAGAAUCUUUCUUUCCAAAGUAUGGUUUGCAGACCAGAAGCACCAACAUCACCUAGAAGCUUCUGAGAAAGGCAGAAUCUCAGGCCCCACCUCCAAUCUAUUGAAUCGAUUCUGCAUUUUAAUAAGAUCCCCAGGUGACUGAAAUGCACAUAAAAGUUUUCAAAGCGCUGCUCUAGAAGAAAGUAUAUGGAUUAAGAAAGAUCUGCUUUGUCCCUCCAUGUAUCCCAGAUUCACUCAGUAGAAUUAAUAAUCAUCUAAAAUACUAACAACUCACUCAUGGCUGCAACUGAAUAGUUUCACUUAGAAGAGGCUACUUCCUCCUGGCAGCGCUUCUAAGAUUCUGAGUAGCAACAUAGGUCGAAUGGCAUUUUGUAAACACCCUAAAUGUAGUUUGUGGCAACCUCCCCCCGC